AUGACGGGGGCCCGCACAAGCGGUGGAGCAUGUGGUUUAAUUCGAAGCAACGCGAAGAACCUUACCAGGUCUUGACAUCUUUUGAUCACCUGAGAGAUCAGGUUUCCCCUUCGGGGGCAAAAUGACAGGUGGUGCAUGGUUGUCGUCAGCUCGUGUCGUGAGAUGUUGGGUUAAGUCCCGCAACGAGCGCAACCCUUAUGACUAGUUGCCAGCAUUUAGUUGGGCACUCUAGUAAGACUGCCGGUGAAAAACCGGAGGAAGGUGGGGAUGACGUCAAAUCAUCAUGCCCCUUAUGACCUGGGCUACACACGUGCUACAAUGGAUGGUACAACGAGUUGCGAGACCGCGAGGUCAAGCUAAUCUCUUAAAGCCAUUCUCAGUUCGGACUGUAGGCUGCAACUCGCCUACACGAAGUCGAAUCGCUAGAUUCCUAAC
rnacentral:rRNA from 2 species